CAUCGCUUGACGGAGCGCGGGUAAUCACUCGCUGAGAUCAUUUUAAUUGUGAGAUCACACAAUUUAAAAAUGAGUACCGUUGAACCUGAUCAGGUUAAAACCUGCGUAGGAAUCAAGCCAUCUAAAAAC
rnacentral:ncRNA from 2 species